UACGUAGGGGGCGAGCGUUGUCCGGAAUCACUGGGCGUAAAGCGCGCGCAGGCGGCUUCUUAAGUCUGGUGUGAAAGCCCACGGCUCAACCGUGGAGAUGCACUGGAAACUGGGGAGCUUGAGUGCAGGAGAGGGAAGCGGAAUUCCACGUGUAGCGGUGAAAUGCGUAGAGAUGUGGAGGAACACCAGUGGCGAAGGCGGCUUCCUGGCCUGUAACUGACGCUGAGGCGCGAAAGCGUGGGGAGCGAAC
rnacentral:rRNA from 1 species